rnacentral:lncRNA from 1 species
GAAGUGUUUCCAGUGAAUUUUUAAAUGUAGGUAAAUAUAGUUAAGAUUAUAUGCAGUGUUUCCAGUGAGUUUUUAAAAUGUAGUCAAAUGUGGGUAAAUGUUUUUAUCAAUCCUUAUCACAAUGAUAAAGUUCUGUCAUUUUCAUUCUAAAGAGCCUAAUAAGAUCCCAUUCACACUCUUUCUUCAUGUAUAGUGCUUAAGAAUGUGUGAUUACCUUUCUUCUAAUCAUGUAUAUUUUAGAUUUUUAGAUUUUUUAAAAUGAGAUUUUUUCAGAGUUGAUUGAUCACCUAUUUUCACAUCUCCAUUUAUGUUACACUGUUUAACUUAGAUAUGAAAUUUAAGAAAUAAAGAAAUAUUUUUAUAAUUUAUGGUCUUAAACUUGUCAUGUGAUUUUUAUGAUUUUAAAGGUAUUUCCGUAACAACAAAAUA